AGAGGAGUCAGGCAGGGUCCAGAUGCUACCUGCGGGACAGAGCCUUCAACGAGUAGCUGAUGGAAGCAGAAGCAGACACUCACCUAAGAAUUGAGCUGAAGUCUGGAAUCCAGUUAUAGAGAGGGAGGAGUAAUCAGCAAAGGGGGCAAGACCAAGCUGGGGAGACCCACAGAAACAGCUGACCUGAACAAGGGGGAGCUCAUAGACCCCAGACUGACAGCUGGGGAACCAGCAGAGAACAUAACCAGGUUUUAAAAACGCUAGUUAGUGCUGUGUGCCUCUAACCCCAAGCCCAAGCAAGAGUGUGAGUUCCAGGACCAUCAAGAAACCCAAAUAAUUACCACCACAACAACAAAAUAGUUGACACUUUGGAUCACCUUUCAGCGACCAAGAACUUUCCUUUUUGCUAAAUAAAUCCUCUUUGUUUUGCUCCA
rnacentral:lncRNA from 1 species